AACGUAGGUACCGAGCGCUAUCCGGAUUCACUGGGCGUAAAGGGUGCGUAGGUGGUGAGGUAAGUCGGAUGUGAAAGCUCCGAGCUCAACUCGGAAAUGGCAUUGGAAACUACCUUGCUAGAGGGUUUGAGGGGGGACUGGAAUACUUGGUGUAGCAGUGAAAUGCGUAGAUAUCAAGUGGAACACCAGUGGCGAAGGCGAGUCCCUGGAAAACUCCUGACACUGAGGCGCGAAAGCGUGGGGAGCAAACAGG
rnacentral:rRNA from 1 species